AGAGUUUGAUCAUGGCUCAGGACGAACGCUGGCGGCGCGCUUAACACAUGCAAGUCGAGCGAGAACCAGUCCUUCGGGACUGGGGACAGCGGCGAACGGGUGAGUAACACGUGAGUAAUCAACCCUCGGUACCGGGAUAGCCCGGGGAAACUCGGAUUAAUACCGGAUGGCCCAUCCGCUUUUCGGAGCGGUUGGAAAAGGUAGCUUCGGCCUCCGACCGGGGACGAGCUCGCGGCGGAUUAGCUUGUUGGCGGGGUAACGGCCCACCAAGGCGACGAUCCGUAGCUGGUCUGAGAGGACGAUCAGCCACACUGGGACUGAGACACGGCCCAGACUCCUACGGGAGGCAGCAGUGGGGAAUCUUGCGCAAUGGGCGAAAGCCUGACGCAGCGACGCCGCGUGAGGGAAGAAGGCCUUCGGGUUGUAAACCUCUUUCAGGAGGGACGAAGCCACUCGGGUUAAUAGCCCAGAGGGUGACGGUACCCCCAGAAGAAGCCCCGGCUAACUACGUGCCAGCAGCCGCGGUAAUACGUAGGGGGCAAGCGUUGUCCGGAUUUAUUGGGCGUAAAGAGCGUGUAGGCGGCCACACAGGUCUGCUGUGAAAACUCGAGGCUCAACCUCGAGCUGUCGGUGGAAACCGUGUGGCUAGAGUCCGGAAGAGGAGAGUGGAAUUCCCGGUGUAGCGGUGAAAUGCGCAGAUAUCGGGAAGAACACCCGUGGCGAAGGCGGCUCUCUGGGACGGUACUGACGCUGAGACGCGAAAGCGUGGGGAGCGAACAGGAUUAGAUACCCUAGUAGUCC
rnacentral:rRNA from 1 species